rfam:Picea glauca, whole genome shotgun sequence.
GGGUGCGAUCAUACGAGUGUUAAUGCACCGGAUCCCAUCAGAAUUUCGCAGUUAAGCGCGCUUGGGCUAGAGUAGUACUGGGAUGGGUGACCUCCCGGGAAGUCCUAGUGUUGCACCCU